rnacentral:other from 12 species
UGCAGCCUCCAGGACCCCCCCUCCCGGGAGAGCCAUAGUGGUCUGCGGAACCGGUGAGUACACCGGAAUUGCCGGGGAGACCGGGUCCUUUCUUGGAACAACCCGCUCAAUGCCUGGAGAUUUGGGCGUGCCCCCGCAAGACUGCUAGCCGAGUAGUGUUGGGUCGCGAAAGGCCUUGUGG